AAUAAGAGUAAGGACUUUGGUUGCCAAAGUCCCUUGCUUGAAGGACUAUCGCACUUUCAGUAGUACUGAGACGGUCCCUACCACUACCUUUAUCAAGCUGGUUUACAAGAGUUCUGACUUUGACUUUCUCAACCGGACAAACUUCCAGGGAAUCUAAUUUCUUUUGGACCCCCUAUUAUAUUUAUAUGCGGUCCUAACCUUGGUACUCUUACUUCCACUAGCAAGAGAACUUCUGCUCGUAACAUAUUCCUAGGGAUAUAAUCUUACUUCUUGAAGCGAGUUACUUUAACUGCCAAAGGAAUUGGGCGAGCGCCAAAACACUAGCACAAACUACUCCCACAGACACACAUGGUAGGGGGUGGGGACAACCAGGCCAUUACUUUUACCAGAUGGGUCUGGACGACCUGAUGCUCUAAGGAUUAGUUUUAUUUGUGGUUGAGAUUUGAUUGACUAUAGCAAGAGCCACAUGUCGAGUAGGGUUUUAUUUGUUGAGAUUUAGGGUAUGUCUCAUGGUUUUGGUAUUUAGCAUUAGCACUACUUCUUACUACUUUUUCAGAGUACUUUGUUAUUUGUCUUUGAUGUUUCUCUGUUGUGCCAUGUUUGUCCAGUCUGAAUUUUUAACCUCAUUCAACAAUAAGAUUAUGCAUAGUUUAUUAACGAUUCAUUAUUUUUAAUAUUGGGAGGAGUAAUUAUAAAACUAAAAUAGUAUUAAAAUUAAGCUAAAUGAGAAAUAAAAAUUAAAAGUAUGAG
rnacentral:lncRNA from 1 species